rnacentral:rRNA from 1 species
AGAGUUUGAUCCUGGCUAAGAACGAACGCUGGAGGCGUGCCUAACACAUGCAAGUCGAACGGGAUCUUCGGAUCUAGUGGCGGACGGGUGAGUAAUACAUAGGUGACCUGGCUUUAAGUGGGGGAUAACAUUCCGAAAGGAGUGCUAAUACCGCGUAAUGUCUAUGCUAUAAAGGUGUAGAAGAAAGGAGUAAUCCGCUUUUAGAUGGGCCUAUGGCCGAUUAGCUAGUUGGUGGGGUAAAGGCUUACCAAGGCGACGAUCGGUAGCUGGUCUGAGAGGACGACCAGCCACAUUGGGACUGAGACACGGCCCAAACUUCUACGGAAGGCAGCAGUGGGGAAUAUUCCGCAAUGGGCGAAAGCCUGACGGAGCGACGCCUCGUGGGUGAAGAAGUCUUUCGGGAUGUAAAGCCCUGUCGGCAGGGAUGAAAAAAAUGACAGUACCUGCAAAGGAAGCAUCGGCUAACUACGUGCCAGCAGCCGCGGUAAUACGUAGGAUGCGAGCGUUGUUCGGAAUUACUGGGCGUAAAGAGUACGUAGGCGGUAAAUUUAGUCUGCUAUUAAAGACCGGGGCUUAACUCCGGGAGUGUAGUAGAAACUGAUUUGCUAGAGGUUAGUAGAGGGAGUCGGAAUUCUCAGUGUAGCGGUGAAAUGCGUAGAUAUUGGGAAGAACACCGGUGGCGAAAGCGGACUUCUGGGCUAAUACUGACGCUGAGGUACGAAAGCGUGGGGAGCAAACGGGAUUAGAUACCCCGGUAGUCCACGCUGUAAACGAUGGAUACUAGGUGUAGCAGGACUCGACCCUUGCUGUGCCGUAGCUAACGCAAUAAGUAUCCCGCCUGGGGAGUAUGGCCGCAAGGUUGAAACUCAAAGGAAUUGACGGGGGCCCGCACAAGCGGUGGAGGAUGUGGUUUAAUUCGACGCAACGCGAAGAACCUUACCAAGGCUUGACAUCCACUGAAUCCUGUAGAGAUACGGGAGUGCUCGAAAGAGAGCAGUGAGACAGGUGGUGCAUGGCUGUCGUCAGCUCGUGUCGUGAGAUGUUGGGUUAAGUCCCGCAACGAGCGCAACCCUCGACGUUAGUUACCAUCAUUAAGUUGGGGACUCUAACGUGACUGCCGGUGACAAACCGGAGGAAGGUGAGGACGACGUCAAGUCAUCAUGCCCCUUACGUCUUGGGCUACACACGUCCUACAAUGGUAUGGACAAAGGGCAGCGAGGCCGCGAGGUCAAGCGAAUCCCAAAAACCAUGCCACAGUUCGGAUUGCAGGCUGAAACUCGCCUGCAUGAAGUCGGAAUCGCUAGUAACCGUAGAUCAGCAUGCUACGGUGAAUACGUUCCCGGGCCUUGUACACACCGCCCGUCACACCACGAAAGUUUGUCAUACCCGAAACCGGUGAGCUAACAGCAAUGGAGCAGCCGUCUAAGGUAGGGCCGAUGAUUGGGGUGAAGUCGUAACAAGGUAACC